AUAUCAUUUACUUGUAAGUCGCUUUGGAUAAAAGCAUCUGCUAAAUGCUAUCUA
rfam:Astyanax mexicanus chromosome 19, whole genome shotgun sequence.